rnacentral:rRNA from 1 species
UACGAAGGGGGCUAGCGUUGCUCGGAAUCACUGGGCGUAAAGGGUGCGUAGGCGGGUCUUUAAGUCAGGGGUGAAAUCCUGGAGCUCAACUCCAGAACUGCCUUUGAUACUGAGGAUCUUGAGUACGGGAGAGGUGAGUGGAACUGCGAGUGUAGAGGUGAAAUUCGUAGAUAUUCGGAAGAACACCAGUGGCGAAGGCGGCUCACUGGCCCGGUACUGACGCUGAGGUGCGAAAGCGUGGGGAGCAAACAGG